rnacentral:misc_RNA from 1 species
CUCGAAUAUCUUGUAUUUUGAAAUUCAAAGAGAACAGUAAAAAGAAGCACUUUUGAAAGCACCAACUUGAGUGGGAGUUUCUCUUCUUAAAUUCGAACACCAUUUUCAUGUAUGCCCUUUUCGAAUUUAAAGAGAAAUAGAGGAAGGGAGAGGACCCGUGGUUGCUUAAAGGAGAAGAUAAGAGAGAAGCGGCCAUUUCCAAGUAGUUACGCACAGAGAG